GGGUGCGUAACGCGUAUGCAAUCUACCUUUUACUGGAGUAUAGCCCAGAGAAAUUUGGAAUAAUCCUCCAUAAUAUCAUUUAAUCGCAUGAUUUUUUGAUUAAAGCUUCGGUGGUAAAAGAUGAGCAUGCGUUCUAUUAGCUAGUAGGUAAGGUAACGGCUUACCUAGGCAACGAUAGAUAGGGGUCCUGAGAGGGAGAUCCCCCACACUGGUACUGAGACACGGACCAGACUCCUACGGGAGGCAGCAGUGAGGAAUAUUGGACAAUGGACGAAAGUCUGAUCCAGCCAUGCCGCGUGCAGGAUGAAUGCCCUAUGGGUUGUAAACUGCUUUUAUAUAGGAAGA
rnacentral:rRNA from 1 species